rnacentral:tRNA from 1 species
AGUCCUGUGGUGUAAGCACGUCAAAAUGCAAAUUUGAAGAUGAGCCCAUAAAGGGCU